UACAGAGGGUGCGAGCGUUGUCCGGAAUUAUUGGGCGUAAAGAGCUCGUAGGCGGUUUGUCGCGUCGAAUGUGAAAACCCGGGGCUCAACCCCGGGCCUGCAUUCGAUACGGGCAGACUAGAGUUCGGUAGGGGAGUCUGGAAUUCCUGGUGUAGCGGUGAAAUGCGCAGAUAUCAGGAGGAACACCGGUGGCGAAGGCGGGACUCUGGGCCGAUACUGACGCUGAGGAGCGAAAGCGUGGGGAGCAAACAGG
rnacentral:rRNA from 1 species